GACUGCCAGGUUGAAACUCAAAUGAAUNGACGGGGACCCGCACAAGCGGUGGAGCAUGUGGUUUAAUUCGAAGCCACGCGAAGAACCUUACCAAAUCUUGACAUCCUUUGAAAACUCUAGAGAUAGAGCUUUCCCCUUCGGGGGACAAAGUGACAGGUGGUGCAUGGUAAUCGUCAGCUCGUGUCGUGAGAUGUUGGGUUAAGUCCCGCAACGAGCGCAACCCUUAAGCUUAGUUGCCAUCAUUAAGUUGGGCACUCUAGGUUGACUGCCGGUGACAAACCGGAGGAAGGUGGGGAUGACGUCAAAUCAUCAUGCCCCUUAUGAUUUGGGCUACACACGUGCUACAAUGGACAAUACAAAGGGCAGCUAAACCGCGAGGUCAUGCAAAUCCCAUAAAGUUGUUCUCAGUUCGGAUUGUAGUCUGCAACUCGACUACAUGAAGCUGGAAUCGCUAGUAAUCGUAGAUCAGCAUGCUACGGUGAAUACGUUCCCGGGUCUUGUACACACCGCCCGUCACACCACGAGAGUUUGUAACACCCGAAGCCGGUGGAGUAACCCAUUUAU
rnacentral:rRNA from 1 species